rnacentral:ribozyme from 1 species
UUGCUUUUGCUGUUUUCUUUUGCUUGUCUUCUUCUUCCUCUUCUUUUCUUCUUUUCUUUUGCUUGCCGGCGAGUGAGUGAAUGAGUGAAUGAGUGAAUGAGAGAAUGAAGAAAAGA